AAUCUCUAAAUCGUAUCAAUAGUCAAUCAAAUGCAACCAUCAUUGUGGGGGUGAUUUUAACUUGGGACAUAUUGAUUGGUCAACAUCAAGCACAAUACCAGGCAAACCUGACAUACAACUUCACCAAAAUCUCUAAGAUAUAAUGAAUGACACAAACCUACAUCAAGUUGUCAAUACACCAACAAGAAAUGACCGUAUACUAGAUCUCAUAAUGAUUAACAACCCAACAUACACCAACAAAGUAACCACACUACCACCAAUAGGUUCAAGCGACCAUGAUAUUGUUUAUGCCGAAGCAGACAUCUGGCUUAAGAAAAUAAGAGAAACCCCACAAAAAGUAUACAAGUAUAACAAAGCCAACUGGGACGAAAUUAAACUUGACAUAUGUAUCAUCUACAAAACAAUCAUUGACAACUAUGAUUCUCUUAACGCCAAUAAGCUAUGGGAACUAUUUAAAACCAAACUCAUCAGCUCUGUCGAAAAACAUAUUCCAUCAAAGAUCCUACGAAACAAACACCGAUUUAGUUACCGUGGAUAUCUGAUAAAUUAAGACGUCAAAUUAACAAGAAAAACAAACUUUUCAAAAGGCGAAAAAAACAGCGAAUACACUGAGAAAUAUAAAAAGAUGAAAUCUCAGGUACAAAAAGAACAAAGGAAGGCCUACUGGGAAUAUAUUGAAAAACUCAUAUGUGAUCUUCCCAUCAAUGAACCAGACAUUCAAAUACAAAAUCAGAGCAAACCUAAAAAAACUUUUUCAAUACAUCAAGUCAAUAAGAACUGACAAAUCUGGUAUCUCUGCA
rnacentral:lncRNA from 1 species